rnacentral:rRNA from 1 species
GGGUUGUGAGGUUAAGCGACUAAGCGUACACGGUGGAUGCCCUGGCAGUCAGAGGCGAUGAAGGACGUGCUAAUCUGCGAUAAGCGUCGGUAAGGUGAUAUGAACCGUUAUAACCGGCGAUUUCCGAAUGGGGAAACCCAGUGUGUUUCGACACACUAUCAUUAACUGAAUCCAUAGGUUAAUGAGGCGAACCGGGGGAACUGAAACAUCUAAGUACCCCGAGGAAAAGAAAUCAACCGAGAUUCCCCCAGUAGCGGCGAGCGAACGGGGAGCAGCCCAGAGCCUGAAUCAGUGUGUGUGUUAGUGGAAGCGUCUGGAAAGGCGCGCGAUACAGGGUGACAGCCCCGUACACAAAAAUGCACAUGCUGUGAGCUCGAUGAGUAGGGCGGGACACGUGGUAUCCUGUCUGAAUAUGGGGGGACCAUCCUCCAAGGCUAAAUACUCCUGACUGACCGAUAGUGAACCAGUACCGUGAGGGAAAGGCGAAAAGAACCCCGGCGAGGGGAGUGAAAAAGAACCUGAAACCGUGUACGUACAAGCAGUGGGAGCACAGAGCAAUCUGUGUGACUGCGUACCUUUUGUAUAAUGGGUCAGCGACUUAUAUUCUGUAGCAAGGUUAACCGAAUAGGGGAGCCGAAGGGAAACCGAGUCUUAACUGGGCGUUAAGUUGCAGGGUAUAGACCCGAAACCCGGUGAUCUAGCCAUGGGCAGGUUGAAGGUUGGGUAACACUAACUGGAGGACCGAACCGACUAAUGUUGAAAAAUUAGCGGAUGACUUGUGGCUGGGGGUGAAAGGCCAAUCAAACCGGGAGAUAGCUGGUUCUCCCCGAAAGCUAUUUAGGUAGCGCCUCGUGAAUUCAUCUCCGGGGGUAGAGCACUGUUUCGGCAAGGGGGUCAUCCCGACUUACCAACCCGAUGCAAACUGCGAAUACCGGAGAAUGUUAUCACGGGAGACACACGGCGGGUGCUAACGUCCGUCGUGAAGAGGGAAACAACCCAGACCGCCAGCUAAGGUCCCAAAGUCAUGGUUAAGUGGGAAACGAUGUGGGAAGGCCCAGACAGCCAGGAUGUUGGCUUAGAAGCAGCCAUCAUUUAAAGAAAGCGUAAUAGCUCACUGGUCGAGUCGGCCUGCGCGGAAGAUGUAACGGGGCUAAACCAUGCACCGAAGCUGCGGCAGCGACGCUUAUGCGUUGUUGGGUAGGGGAGCGUUCUGUAAGCCUGCGAAGGUGUGCUGUGAGGCAUGCUGGAGGUAUCAGAAGUGCGAAUGCUGACAUAAGUAACGAUAAAGCGGGUGAAAAGCCCGCUCGCCGGAAGACCAAGGGUUCCUGUCCAACGUUAAUCGGGGCAGGGUGAGUCGACCCCUAAGGCGAGGCCGAAAGGCGUAGUCGAUGGGAAACAGGUUAAUAUUCCUGUACUUGGUGUUACUGCGAAGGGGGGACGGAGAAGGCUAUGUUGGCCGGGCGACGGUUGUCCCGGUUUAAGCGUGUAGGCUGGUUUUCCAGGCAAAUCCGGAAAAUCAAGGCUGAGGCGUGAUGACGAGGCACUACGGUGCUGAAGCAACAAAUGCCCUGCUUCCAGGAAAAGCCUCUAAGCAUCAGGUAACAUCAAAUCGUACCCCAAACCGACACAGGUGGUCAGGUAGAGAAUACCAAGGCGCUUGAGAGAACUCGGGUGAAGGAACUAGGCAAAAUGGUGCCGUAACUUCGGGAGAAGGCACGCUGAUAUGUAGGUGAAGUCCCUCGCGGAUGGAGCUGAAAUCAGUCGAAGAUACCAGCUGGCUGCAACUGUUUAUUAAAAACACAGCACUGUGCAAACACGAAAGUGGACGUAUACGGUGUGACGCCUGCCCGGUGCCGGAAGGUUAAUUGAUGGGGUUAGCGCAAGCGAAGCUCUUGAUCGAAGCCCCGGUAAACGGCGGCCGUAACUAUAACGGUCCUAAGGUAGCGAAAUUCCUUGUCGGGUAAGUUCCGACCUGCACGAAUGGCGUAAUGAUGGCCAGGCUGUCUCCACCCGAGACUCAGUGAAAUUGAACUCGCUGUGAAGAUGCAGUGUACCCGCGGCAAGACGGAAAGACCCCGUGAACCUUUACUAUAGCUUGACACUGAACAUUGAGCCUUGAUGUGUAGGAUAGGUGGGAGGCUUUGAAGUGUGGACGCCAGUCUGCAUGGAGCCGACCUUGAAAUACCACCCUUUAAUGUUUGAUGUUCUAACGUGGACCCGUAAUCCGGGUUGCGGACAGUGUCUGGUGGGUAGUUUGACUGGGGCGGUCUCCUCCUAAAGAGUAACGGAGGAGCACGAAGGUUGGCUAAUCCUGGUCGGACAUCAGGAGGUUAGUGCAAUGGCAUAAGCCAGCUUGACUGCGAGCGUGACGGCGCGAGCAGGUGCGAAAGCAGGUCAUAGUGAUCCGGUGGUUCUGAAUGGAAGGGCCAUCGCUCAACGGAUAAAAGGUACUCCGGGGAUAACAGGCUGAUACCGCCCAAGAGUUCAUAUCGACGGCGGUGUUUGGCACCUCGAUGUCGGCUCAUCACAUCCUGGGGCUGAAGUAGGUCCCAAGGGUAUGGCUGUUCGCCAUUUAAAGUGGUACGCGAGCUGGGUUUAGAACGUCGUGAGACAGUUCGGUCCCUAUCUGCCGUGGGCGCUGGAGAACUGAGGGGGGCUGCUCCUAGUACGAGAGGACCGGAGUGGACGCAUCACUGGUGUUCGGGUUGUCAUGCCAAUGGCACUGCCCGGUAGCUAAAUGCGGAAGAGAUAAGUGCUGAAAGCAUCUAAGCACGAAACUUGCCCCGAGAUGAGUUCUCCCUGACUCCUUGAGAGUCCUGAAGGAACGUUGAAGACGACGACGUUGAUAGGCCGGGUGUGUAAGCGCAGCGAUGCGUUGAGCUAACCGGUACUAAUGAACCGUGAGGCUUAACCUUACAACGCCGAAGGUGUUU